rnacentral:lncRNA from 10 species
CUCCCGUGCUGCAUGCUUCCUGCCCACGAACAUCAGACUCCAAGUUCUUCAGCUUUUGGGCUCUUGGACUUUACACCAGUGGUUUGCCAGGGGCUCUCAGGCCUUCAGCCACAGACUGAAAGCUGCACUGUCGGCUUCCCUGCUUUCGAGGUUUUGGGACUCAGACUGGCUUCCUUGUUCCUUACCUUGUAGAUGGCAUAUUUUGAGAGUUCACCUUGUGAUCGUGGUUCUUGUUAGGAAUUGCUGGUCCCCCUAAAUCUUAACAAUGACAUUUCUGUACCUAUCUACAUGAUCGCCUGCAGUUUUUUCCUUCUGAUUUGUUUGCACAAAGAAUUAUGCAGGAUUAAAAACUUCAAUGAACAAUAUCUCCCUUCUGUUUUGGCUUUAGAAAUCAGGUUGUUAUUGGUGGAACUGUACCCCUCCCACACCCCCAAUUCACAUGGUGAUGUUCUAACCCGCAGUACCUCACAAUGUGACCUUAUUUGGAGAUAGGCAUUUUUUAGAGGUAAUCAAGUAAAAAUGAGGUCAUUAGGAAGGCCUAACCCAAGAUGACAGUGUCCUCUAUGAGAAGGAGGAAUUUGGACAUAGACACACACAAGGCGAACAUCAUGUGAAGAUGAAGCCAGAGACCAGGAUGCUGCUUCAACAUGCCGAAGAACACCAGAGACUUCCAGAAAACCACUAGGAAUUCAGUGAAAGGGAUGAAAC